GUGAACGCUAGCGGUGCGCCUAACACAUGCAAGUCGAGUGGGUUUAGGCCCACGGCAGACGGCUGCGUAACACGUUGGAACCUGCCCCGGACUCAGGGAUAACCCCGCGAAAGCGGGGCUAAUACCGGAUGCCGUUAGCCGGCGAUUUAAAUCGCCGGCUAACGAAAGAUUUUUCGGUCCGGGAGGGGCCUGCGGCCUAUCAGCUCGUUGGUAAGGUAACGGCUUACCAAGGCAAUGACGGGUAGCUGGUCUGAGAGGACGACCAGCCAGAAUGGAACUGAGAAACGGUCCAUACUCCUACGGGAGGCAGCAGUGAGGAAUCUUCCGCAAUGGGCGAAAGCCUGACGGAGCGACACCGCGUGGUGGAUGAAGGCCUUUCAGGUCGUAAACACCUGUUCUGAGGGACGAAAUUUUUGACGGUACCUCAGGAGAAAGUAUCGGCUAACCCUGU
rnacentral:rRNA from 1 species